UCAUGCAAACAAAGAAUCAGCCAAAGUGUAUUUCUAACAGAAGAAGAAACUCCUGUGAUUGGCCAAGUGAAUCACAGGAUUCGGCUCAUCACUGGACUGUCAAAUGAAACAGCCGAGUUUCUCCAGGUUGCUGAUUAUGGCAUUGGAGGAUACUAUGAACCUCAUGUGGAUUAUUUUUGGACUUUGACAGUAACCCUUUGGGGUUUAUUGUGACGGAGAAUCGUGUGGCCACAUUCACGAACUAUGAACUGUUACACUGCUUCCUACAGUGACAGCACCGUUUUACUUUCCCACCAUCAGUGUAUGACCGUUACCAUUUCUUCACAACCCUGUCAAC